rnacentral:rRNA from 1 species
AUGGUGUUCAGCAAGGUGGAAGUGAACCUGAAAAGGCUGCUUGAGGCGGCCCCCCGCCAGCAGAAUCAGGCUAAGCUUGUCCAUUACAUAACCACAGCCAGGGAGCUGUUGGAGCAGCUUGGAGCUGAAAUUACACCAGAAGGAAUAUCAAGUGUUUCAAAAGCUAAGCUCAGUGAGUAUUCAGAAAAGAUUGAAGCAGUAGCUGCCACGCUUGCUUCUCUAGUGCCAGAAAAUGAAAAUCUGGUUGAUGAGAGUAGAGAGCAAGACAACUCUUAUGAAAGAGAAAAGGUUGGGAGUCCAAUAUCCUUAUCAUCAGGAUUGCGGAGGAGAUCGACGGCUCAGAUGGAGGUUGGACCAAGCAGUCAUGAAAGAAAAGAAAAAGACACUGGAGCACCUAUUAAAUUGGAUGCAGAAGCUCAGGCUCAUAUUGAGAAGCAUAGGAAGCUGCAAGAAGAUCUAACUGACGAAAUGGUUGACUUAGCACGCCAGCUGAAGGAGAGUAGCCUUUUAAUGAACCAAUCCGUGCAAGAUACAGAGAAGAUCCUCGAUUCCACCGAGAGAGCCGUGGAGCAUAGCCUGGCGAGCACCGGCCGUGCAACGGCGCGAGCCUCGGAGGUCUACUCGCUGGCCUCCAAGACAACCUGCUUCCAGUGGUUGCUCAUCUUUCUGAUGACCUGCAUGUUUGUCAUGGUGGUUCUGCUCAUACGGAUCACCUGA